UGGUGGUGCAUGGCCGUUCUU
rnacentral:ncRNA from 2 species